UACAGAGGGUGCGAGCGUUAAUCGGAAUUACUGGGCGUAAAGGGCUCGUAGGUGGCCAACUAAGUCAGACGUGAAAUCCCUCAGCUUAACUGGGGAACUGCGUCUGAUACUGGAUGGCUUGAGAUUGGGAGAGGGAUGCGGAAUUCCAGGUGUAGCGGUGAAAUGCGUAGAUAUCUGGAGGAACACCGGUGGCGAAGGCGGCAUCCUGGACCAUUACUGACGCUGAGGAGCGAAAGCCAGGGGAGCAAACGGG
rnacentral:rRNA from 1 species